CGCGCCGUGAGUUCUGCAGGAGGAGUUGACCCUGGAUCCCGGGAAGCUGGCAGUGGCGAGCUGCACAGGCUCCCCGGAAGGGGGGUGUGGAUAGUGACCUGUGCUCGCACACAGGCUUCUUGGUGGCGGCAGCAGCAGCCUUAGCGUCUCAUGCCCGUUUCUGGGGUCCGCGCUUUAGGCCGCGGCUCGCGCCCGUCUCUGGAGUUCCUUUAAGCAGCGCUCUUAAUCCCCUCUCCUCGCGUACCAGGAAACAAAGAGAUGAGGAACCUCUGCUGUCUUCUAAAUGGUGGUAUUUCUAAGAAAUGUCUGAGAUCAUGACAGACUUGCCAAGACAAGAACCCCACCAUUUUGGAGCUUUUUUUUAAAGAACCAAACCUGAGAGAAUUCUCAGAGGAGCUUCAAGAUGGUGGAGGAGUAGGAUGUGGAGAUCACCUUCCUCCCCACAAAUACAUCAGAAAUACAUCUACAUGUGGAACACUCCUACAGAACACCUACUGAACGCUGGCAGGAGACCUCAGACCUCCCAAAAGUAUUUGGACUGUUGUUCUGCAUACAGAGCAGAAAAGUACAUCAAGCUGCUUUUCAGUUUCUAUGGAAAGGUGCCUCCACCCUCUCUUUCAACUUGAGAUCCGGACACGUCUGUCUUCAGAGGCA